rnacentral:lncRNA from 8 species
CUGCUUCCGUUGCCAUACUAAAUAAAUUACAUGAGAGUGAUUUUUUUUUAAUUUAUUGUAAUUAUGUAUUAUCUUGUUUUUGCAGGCUUUGAAUGAGGUGACAACUGGAAAUGAGGACAUGGACACCUCAGGGUAGUCCAUGAAUCCCAUUUUCUUAUGAGAAGACAAGCCAAGAUAACAUCUGAAACAUUAAUUCAACCUGCUACAUGAAUCAGUUAUUGUACGAUGAUUAUUCUAGAUUGCCUUUAAUGUUUUUGUCUUUGGUACAGAUACGUUUGACAGUGAUCUUGACGUCUCCGACGUAACUGAGGCAGCCGACGAAAACGUAGGCAUUGACAGACAUGAUACACUCAUCCUAUUUGGAGAUAUUGCUAUGGAAACUGGGAUUCGGAAUGCUUCUCCAUGCACGGCUGGAGAUUGCUAGUGGCCCAAAAGCAAGAAUGGGGUUGUGCCUGUGUAUAUCUCCUCUUUGUAUACCUUAGAGGAGCAAGAUAUCAUCAUGAAAGGACUGAUCUCCUUCCACCUAUCUACCUGCAUCCAGUAUGUGUGGUGGAAAUGGGUGUGUUACAAGUAGACGUUCAAGUGAAAAGGGAAUUCGUAUAAUGCAGUUUUGUCUCCAGUCGUUGUCUUUCCUAACACAAUACUGUUAAUAUCAAAGAUGAGACUGCCUGUGUGCUUUGCACCUGUCUCUAAGGUGCUGGUCAUAUUUGGGACGUCGAGGUGGUCAACAGCGUGGCUGUGUCCAUCAUGGUACGGUCCAGCAUGAAGUCCUGCAUGCUCUGGGCUUCCACCAUGAGCAGAACCGUGGCGACCGGGACAAUGAUGUCACAGAGAACAUCAGCAGAGGUUGCUUAUGUAUUUCUAUUGUCAGACUGACAAUACUAAUGGCUUAUCACAGUGAAAAAUCUCUCUCUAAAUCUCUCCUUUUAGGCAAGGAACACAAGUUCAGAAAGGUGGAAACCAAUAACUUGAUGACUCCGUAUGACUACACCUAUGUGAUGCACUAUGGAAGGGUCAGCUUCUAGGACUAUUUGUAUUUAUUCAAGCUAAAAUAAACCUUCAAUCUCCCACCUACAGGUAUGCCACAGUUGUACAUGUACUAUGCAAUGAUAUGUCUUCCAGGUAUGCGUUCUCUAAAGAUUAUGGUAAGCUGCCAACUACCAUUCCAAAGCCAGACUGUAAUGUUCAGAUCGGAGGGGCCCGAUAGCUGAGUCGCCUGGACAUCGUGAGGGUCAACAGGUUGUACUACUGCAGUGCGUAUUGGGCUUUAUUUUAAUAUAUCUUACAAUAGAAAAUACAUGUUUUCUUUCAAUCAUGCAUUUCAUAACAUGAGAAUAAAUGUUUGUUUUUGUCAACACUGCUGAUGAUGCUGUGUGCCAUUUUUUUUGUAUUUUUUUUUUUUGUAUUUUCACCCCAAUAGGAGGACACUUGAAUAAAUGAGUUUAGAAGGCUACGUCAGAUAUUUCAACCAACAACUAUUUGAAAUAAAAUCAAAUACCAGCUAAUCAAUUAGCUUCUGGAUGAGGUCAAAUUCACUUCGCACAAUACUCAUCACAUUGUGUUGUGGAUGCUUCACGACCCAGUUGGUUGCGAUUAUUCUCUCACCCAAAUGUAAACUUUUUUUGGUGUCAUUUUGACACUGUUAUUGUAGAUAUUAUUUUGGGUGAUUGUUGAGACGUUCAGUACUCAUUGUUCUAUUGCAUUGGUUGUGUGGUUAAUGUAACUUCAUAUCCCAUGUUUCCCCCAUUUAUUAGCAUUCAGAAUCUUGACAGUUACUGUACUGUAUCUAGCUGCAUUCAUAUUUGCUCAAUAAAAGCUCACUGUAUAUAUGCCAAGUGACAGUGUAUUUGUUCCACUAGGUGGCAUCUGAAUCUCAUGUAGAGUACAUACAUUAUUUCUUUCAUGUUUCCAUUAACGUAUAGAAUUCCUUACCAUUUGGACAGAUUUUGCAGCUUCCCCUACACCCCCAGUCAAACUAGUGACUUUUCUACUAAAAGAUAAGCAUGAAAUGAGUAAGGUAAUAUAGUGAAUGCAUACCACACACACACACACACACACAAAAAUUAGUGUCAGACAUGAAUAAGCCAAACAUACAACAAAUCUAGAAUCCGUACAUCCAAGCAUCCAGAAAUAUACUGAAACAUGUCUGCCUCAUCUUCCAAGAGUUGAAACCGUUCCCUAGAGAACCAGCCACCUCCAGGUAAAUCACACUGUCGGUAUCUGUCAGUGACUCACUGGUGCCAUCACCAACCUGAUAAUUGGCUUUGUCAAAGCUUUGUCUCACAUUCGGCGACUGGUUUAGGGGGAGGCUGCAAAUAAAAAGGGGAAACGAGUCGAAGUACUGUACCAUACAGGACUAUUUACACCUAGAAGAACAGGGACAGUAUAUAGAAAACAUUGCAACAAAUACAAUUGGCCUUUUUUUUAUGUGCAGCAUCUACAAAUUGUAUGGGCUGGUAUACUAUCUAAUGUUCCUCCACCGUAUAUUUCUUUUUAGAGACAGGUAUGUGCUCGUUCAGUAGAUUGGACACAAAAUGUGAUAUUGUAUAAUCAUGGCAAAUGAAAUGUGGUUGUGUUACUGCUGUAAGCCAUGGCAGGAAGCUUUGGAGUGUACGCUGAGCUUAGCAAGCCUGGAGGAGUUACAGUCCCAAUUUACUUUCAGCCUCAACACCUCCUACUCGGCUCUGACUGUGAGCUGGAGAGGAGGGGUGUCUGGCACAGGGAUUGAAAAGUGGUUCAAAG